UUUGAAAAUAAUAAUAAUUAUCAUAUAAGAAAUAUUUGGACAUUUCUUAAUAUAAUACAUUUUAGAAUCUACGUUAAAUUGGAUCGGAUAAGAACUUCGCACAACCUAAAGCUGUCUGAUAUCAAGGUAUUUCGGAGCCUGGAUCCAUUGUGUGAUUCAUCAGUUAAUGUGAUAAAUAUUUUCUAAACUAAAUACUCUUAACUCAGGUGGAAGAAGAAAACUACAAAGAAUGGUAGUCGAGUCUAGAUCUAACAUUUUUAGUGUAUUGUUACACUUGCACCCCAAGAUUUUCAGCAAAAACCAUGGUCCACCCUACACUCGACAAAUGGGACGAAAACUUGUUGCCACUAGUUAUAAUUAUGGCCACUUUGUUGCUUCAGUUAAAACUGACUGAAUUACCGAAUUAACCGAAAUAGAUUGAUUUAUUCUGUUGUU